rnacentral:rRNA from 1 species
UGCAGCGACGCCGCGUGAGGGAUGACGGCCUAUCGGGUUGUAAACCUCUUUCAGCAGGGAAGAAGCGAGAGUGACGGUACCUGCAGAAGAAGCGCCGGCUAACUACGUGCCAGCAGCCGCGGUAAUACGUAGGGCGCAAGCGUUGUCCGGAAUUAUUGGGCGUAAAGAGCUCGUAGGCGGCUUGUCGCGUCGGAUGUGAAAGCCCGGGGCUUAACCCCGGGUCUGCAUUCGAUACGGGCAGGCUAGAGUUCGGUAGGGGAGAUCGGAAUUCCUGGUGUAGCGGUGAAAUGCGCAGAUAUCAGGAGGAACACCGGUGGCGAAGGCGGAUCUCUGGGCCGAUACUGACGCUGAGGAGCGAAAGCGUGGGGAGCGAACAGGAUUAGAUACCCUGGUAGUCCACGCCGUAAACGUUGGGAACUAGGUGUGGGCGACAUUCCACGUCGUCCGUGCCGCAGCUAACGCAUUAAGUUCCCCGCCUGGGGAGUACGGCCGCAAGGCUAAAACUCAAAGGAAUUGACGGGGGCCCGCACAAGCAGCGGAGCAUGUGGCUUAAUUCGACGCAACGCGAAGAACCUUACCAAGGCUUGACAUACACCGGAAACGUCUGGAGACAGGCGCCCCCUUGUG